CAUCUGAAAGAGAUUAAAGAUUUAUCGGUGAUGGAUGGGGAUGCGUCUGAUUAGCUUGUUGGCGGGGUAACGGCCCACCAAGGCGACGAUCAGUAGGGGUUCUGAGAGGAAGGUCCCCCACAUUGGAACUGAGACACGGUCCAAACUCCUACGGGAGGCAGCAGUGAGGAAUAUUGGUCAAUGGGCGAGAGCCUGAACCAGCCAAGUAGCGUGCAGGAUGACGGCCCUAUGGGUUGUAAACUGCUUUUAUAAGGGAAUAAAGUGAGCCUCGUGAGGCUUUUUGCAUGUACCUUAUGAAUAAGGACCGGCUAAUUCCGUGCCAGCAGCCGCGGUAAUACGGAAGGUCCGGGCGUUAUCCGGAUUUAUUGGGUUUAAAGGGAGCGUAGGCCGGAGAUUAAGCGUGUUGUGAAAUGUAGAUGCUCAACAUCUGCACUGCAGCGCGAACUGGUUUCCUUGAGUACGCACAAGGUGGGCGGAAUUCGUGGUGUAGCGGUGAAAUGCUUAGAUAUCACGAAGAACUCCGAUUGCGAAGGCAGCUCACUGGAGCGCAACUGACGCUGAAGCUCGAAAGUGCGGGUAUCGAACAGGAUUAGAUACCCUGGUAGUCCGCACGGUAAACGAUGGAUGCCCGCUGUUGG
rnacentral:rRNA from 2 species